rnacentral:rRNA from 1 species
CAUAUCAAUAAGCGGAGGAAAAGAAACUAACAAGGAUUCCCCUAGUAACUGCGAGUGAAGCGGGAAAAGCUCAAAUUUAAAAUCUGGCGGUCUUUGGCCGUCCGAGUUGUAGUCUGGAGAAGCGUCUUCCGCGCUGGACCGUGUAUAAGUCUCUUGGAACAGAGCGUCAUAGAGGGUGAGAAUCCCGUCUUUGACACGGACUACCAGUGCUUUGUGAUGCGCUCUCAAAGAGUCGAGUUGUUUGGGAAUGCAGCUCAAAAUGGGUGGUGAAUUCCAUCUAAAGCUAAAUAUUGGCGAGAGACCGAUAGCGAACAAGUACCGUGAGGGAAAGAUGAAAAGCACUUUGGAAAGAGAGUUAAACAGUACGUGAAAUUGCUGAAAGGGAAACGCUUGAAGUCAGUCGCGUUGUCCGGGACUCAGCCUUGCUUCGGCUUGGUGCACUUUCCGGAUGACGGGCCAGCAUCGAUUUUGACCGCUGGAAAAGGGCUGGAGGAAUGUGGCACCUUCGGGUGUGUUAUAGCCUCCAGUCGCAUACGGCGGUUGGGAUCGAGGAACGCAGCACGCCUCGUGGCGGGGGGUUUACCCUACCUUCGUGCUUAGGAUGCUGGCAUAAUGGCUUUAAACGACCCGUCUUGAAACACGGACCAAGGAGUCUAACAUGCCUGCGAGUGUUUGGGUGGAAAACCCGAGCGCGUAAUGAAAGUGAAAGUUGAGACCUCUGUCGUGGAGGGCAUCGACGCCCGGACCUGACGUUCUCUGACGGAUCCGCGGUAGAGCAUGUAUGUUGGGACCCGAAAGAUGGUGAACUAUGCCUGAAUAGGGUGAAGCCAGAGGAAACUCUGGUGGAGGCUCGUAGCGAUUCUGACGUGCAAAUCGAUCGUCAAAUUUGGGUAUAGGGGCGAAAGACUAAUCGAACCAUCUAGUAGCUGGUUCCUGC